UCAGUUUAAAAGAAUUUUAAGGAUAGAAUAAAAAAUGAGAGAUAGUGUUUAAUACAAUAUAGUCCACGUGCAGGCGUGGUAAUUUGGACAUUUAUAGACAACAAAACGAGUUUGUGAUUUCAUAAUCAUUUGAGGAGAUUUUAAAUUGUUGUAGUGAUUAUGUCAAUGUGUGAAUUUGCCAUGACGCGUGUGCUGUGCGCGCCGAACACGUGCCCUUUUUGGCUUGUUCGACUUCAUGCGGCGCUGCAAGAACCGACAGCUGCAUGACGUCAAAGUACCGCGAGAACGAUUCGAGAACUCAUACGAAGUGUAAUUUCGUCUCGCUCUCGCGGCACUUUAACGUCAUCCGUCUGUCAAUUCUAGCGGGGCCGCAAGCAGGAAGUCGAACAGCCUUCUUUCUCAAUACGGAUUACCAUGAGGUGGGACUGACGAAGCUCCUCUUUCACGGGUUUCUUUACUGUUUUCAGGAGUGAUCAAAAUAACCUCUAUAAUAGAAGAAAAGCUGAAGAUUUCAAAAUUUUCUGAAGGGAGCCACAGACAGAGAUGUGAACUCAGGCAGGUUGAGAGCAUAUUAACUCACUUUUUUCACAAUAUUACCAUGAAUCUUGUCGUUUUUCUGCGUUUAUAGCAAUUAUUCCAGGAAGGUUUUAACAUCCAAACGUGAGUUGCACCAUAUGAGCAAUAUUAAAUGAACAAGUAAACCUAAAAACAUAGAUUCUGUUAUAUUUUGUAUACUUUAAUUUUCUUUUCAGUGUUUCACAUCCUUUUAAUCAAUAUUGAUUGCUUUGUGACAAAUUGCAUGUUAUGUUUGUAGAUUUUCCAUGCUGAUAUCCGUGCAGCAGAGUUGAAGCAGACCUGUCAGAAAACAUCUCUAAGGUGCUAUGAAUCUCAUAACUAGAGACACAUCAUAAGAUAACUAGAGCUUACGGCUCUGUUUGGAUCCAGCCG